rnacentral:rRNA from 1 species
GACGAACGCUGGCGGCGUGCUUAACACAUGCAAGUCGAACGGAAAGGCCCUGCUUUUGUGGGGUGCUCGAGUGGCGAACGGGUGAGUAACACGUGAGUAGCCUGCCCUUGACUUUGGGAUAACUUCAGGAAACUGGGGCUAAUACCGGAUAGGAGCUCCUGCUGCAUGGUGGGGGUUGGAAAGUUUCGGCGGUUGGGGAUGGACUCGCGGCUUAUCAGCUUGUUGGUGGGGUAGUGGCUUACCAAGGCUUUGACGGGUAGCCGGCCUGAGAGGGUGACCGGCCACAUAGGGACUGAGAUACGGCCCAGACUCCUACGGGAGGCAGCAGUGGGGAAUAUUGCACAAUGGGCGGAAGCCUGAUGCGGCAACGCCGCGUGCGGGAUGACGGCCUUCGGGUUGUAAACCGCUUUCGCCUGUGACGAAGCGUGAGUGACGGUAAUGGGUAAAGAAGCACCGGCUAACUACGUG